rnacentral:tRNA from 5 species
GCCCCCGUAGCUCAAUGGACAGAGCAAACCCGUCCUAAGGGUGAGAUGGGGGUUCGAUUCCUCCUGGGGGCA